CUUUCUACGCCUCCUUAUGGGAGGAGUUCUAAGCUAUCGAUUGCAAUCCAAUAGUUAGCUUAACAAUUGAUUUGCAAUCAUGAUUCAGACGAAUUGCAUUGUUGACAAUCCAAGGGCUCGCUCAACGCACAAAUUUAUUGUGUUCUUUUUCCUCCUGAAUACGUAAUAUUUAUUGGAAUUUUAUAAAGGACUUAUCUACGUUAAAUCCUUAAUAACCCUGAAAACUCUCACAAGAGAACUUUCCGAAAAUAGUUUCUCACUUUGAUUUCAUACAAUUAGAAAUGAGUCCUCCAUUGGUGGAGGCAAGUUAAAAGUUCAAGAGUAAUCGGAAACACUGAGAUAGGCUACAUACUACAAAGAACCAGAUCCCAAUCGAGAAAUUCCAACUCAAUAGUCCAUGACUUAAACUUGAAUGGUGAAUGUGAGCACCUGUAUCAUUCUGGGUUCUGCCAAGAAGACCCCAAUACCAACUCCCAUGGACUGACCAUUUCAUCGUGGAUCUGGGAAUGGAAUACUGUCAUUCAGCAGAGAAUGGUCCAGCCAUGAACAAACGAUCCUCAGUACCCACUCCAGUAGUACUUGCACGGAAAGAACGUCGGAGUCACUCACCAUUUGAACGUGACACCUGUUUGGCGAAAAGGGCUACCUGGCCGUGUUGUAGCCAUCGCCAGCAUAUCAGCAUACGACACUUUUGUGAUUGACAUCACAUUUGGUUGAAGCUAACAAGUAGCAAGCUACAAAAGCAUCACAUCAGUUUAUGUGAAUUAAAACUUAAAAGAGCUUUCUCAUCAUUUGUAACCAAGAUGCAGCGUGAAGAGAAACAGCUGGAAGCCGCUUUGGGAGCUUUGCUUCAGAGAAUUAAUGA